UGUUGUGUAUGAUGAGAAAUACAAACAUCACAGUUAUCCCUGUCUGAUGCAUUUGUGCUGAACAUUUGUGAUCUGACACAAGC